rnacentral:rRNA from 1 species
AUGUGCCUACGGGGGGCAGCAGUGGGGAAUAUUGGACAAUGGGGGGAACCCUGAUCCAGCGACGCCGCGUGAGUGAAGAAGUAUUUCGGUAUGUAAAGCUCUAUCAGCAGGGAAGAAAGAAAUGACGGUACCUGACUAAGAAGCCCCGGCUAACUACGUGCCAGCAGCCGCGGUAAUAAGUAGGGGGCAAGCGUUAUCCGGAUUUACUGGGUGUAAAGGGAGCGUAGACGGCUAUGCACGUCUGGAGUGAAAGGC